rnacentral:misc_RNA from 1 species
CAAUUCCUUUAUAACUUAAAAGUAAAAAAAAAAUAAAAAUAAAAAAAGGUUGAUUUUGCAGUAAAAGAUCACAACCAAUCACUACUGAGGUUUCUUUUGUUUAUGCUUCUUAACUGAUCUACUCAAUUAAUUAAGAAUAAUUCUGUUCUUGUACUAUUUUUUGCACCAAUCUGCCAUACUACUAUAUUUUCACAGUGAAAGGAAAGAAUGAUGAAGAGCUCAC